UACGGAGGGUGCUAGCGUUGUUCGGAAUCACUGGGCGUAAAGCGUGCGCAGGCGGCUUUGCAAGACAGAUGUGAAAUCCCCGGGCUUAACCUGGGAACUGCAUUUGUGACUGCAUGGCUAGAGUGCGGCAGAGGGGGAUGGAAUUCCGCGUGUAGCAGUGAAAUGCGUAGAUAUGCGGAGGAACACCGAUGGCGAAGGCAAUCCCCUGGGCCUGCACUGACGCUCAUGCACGAAAGCGUGGGGAGCAAACAGG
rnacentral:rRNA from 1 species